rnacentral:SRP_RNA from 1 species
GCCGGGCAUGGUGGCGGGCGCCUGUAAUCCCAGCUUCUCGGGAGGCUGAGGCAGGAGAAUUGCUUGAACCCAGGAGGCAGAGGUUGUAGUGAGCCGAGAUCCCACCACUGCAUUCCAGCCUGGGUGACACAGCAAGACCCUGUCUCAA